rnacentral:rRNA from 1 species
GGACAAUGGGCGCAAGCCUGAUCCAGCCAUGCCGCGUGUGUGAAGAAGGCCUUAUGGUUGUAAAGCACUUUAAGCGAGGAGGAGGCUACUGAAGUUAAUACCUUCAGAUAGUGGACGUUACUCGCAGAAUAAGCACCGGCUAACUCUGUGCCAGCAGCCGCGGUAAUACAGAGGGUGCAAGCGUUAAUCGGAUUUACUGGGCGUAAAGCGCGCGUAGGCGGCUAAUUAAGUCAAAUGUGAAAUCCCCGAGCUUAACUUGGGAAUUGCAUUCGAUACUGGUUAGCUAGAGUGUGGGAGAGGAUGGUAGAAUUCCAGGUGUAGCGGUGAAAUGCGUAGAGAUCUGGAGGAAUACCGAUGGCGAAGGCAGCCAUCUGGCCUAACACUGACGCUGAGGUGCGAAAGCAUGGGGAGCAAACAGGAUUAGAUACCCUGGUAGUCCAUGCCGUAAACGAUGUCUACUAGCCGUUGGGGCCUUUGAGGCUUUAGUGGCGCAGCUAACG